GGGAAUGCAAUCACCAACGGCAAGAGACAGCAAUGGUGCAAAAAGACUUGCGGCUAAUCUAAGUCAAGAUCAGGUGUAACUCCAGUCUUAGCAACGUUGACAGCUAGGGGCUUCGAGGUGGUGCUGCUAGUGUCACGCCCCAAGACCGCUACCAAUUUGGCACGGCUCGGGCGCGUCGAACAGACGCCGAACGGACAGCACCUCCCCUGUUCGCCCAAGGCCAACAACCUGAUCAUGUACAAAAAUUUGCCCAGGAAAUAGAAAUUCAUACAUACACGAUCACAAGGGCACAAACAGUGAAAACAACUAAGAACAAGAAUCCCCAAGCAUACACGAGUGAAAUAAAGAGAGUUUGCUAACUAUUACAUCAUUUGCAUUCAUUUACAUAUUCAUCUUCUCAAAAUGGGUACAUGGUUCACUAAUGACCAACAAAUACAUACAUCAAUAGCUCUUCAAACCUCACCUACAAAGGUCUCUCAUAUUGUCACGCCCCACCCCGAAUCCAAUACCAAUUUGGCACAGUUCGGGCGCGCCGGACGGACCGCCGAACGGACAGCACCUCUCCUGUCCGCCCAAGGCUAAGCAACCAGAUCAUGUAUAAUUAAGCGCCCAGGGAAUGCUUAAAUAACAUACAUGAUCGAUACGAUGCACACAAGUGCAAUACAUCUAAGAGCAAGAACCACAAGUAAUGCACAAGUGUAUAAAGAGAGAUAGUCUAACUAUUACAACCAUUCAA
rnacentral:lncRNA from 1 species